rnacentral:rRNA from 1 species
GCUUGUCUCAAAGAUUAAGCCAUGCAUGUCUAAGUAUAACUCUUUUACUUUGAAAACUGCGAACGGCUCAUUAUAUCAGUUAUAGUUUCUUUGAUAGUCCCUUACUACUUGGAUACCCGUAGUAAUUCUAGAGCUAAUACAUGCAUCAAUACCCAACUGUUCGCGGAAGGGUAGUAUUUAUUAGGUAUAGACCAACCCUCUUCGGAGGUGCUUUGGUGAUUCAUAAUAACUGUUCGAAUCGCACGGGCAACCGGCGAUAGUUCAUUCAAAUUUCUGCCCUAUCAGCUUUCGACGGUAGUGUAGUGGACUACCGUGGCGUUAACGGGUAACGGAGAAUUAGGGUUCGAUUCCGGAGAGGGAGCCUGAGAAACGGCUACCACAUCCAAGGAAGGCAGCAGG